GCGCCUGGCGGGCCCGGACGCGGACGCGCGGGCGGGCGGAGUGGCUCCGGGCCCGGCGUGUAACCGUUCCCCAGGCGGCCGCGUCUGCGGAGGCUACUUUUCAGGGUGCUCGGGCCUACGGUGGCGUCAGCCCGCGGCCGGGAGCGGCUCGCUGGACCGCAGCUCUUGAGAAACGCGCAGUUUGGCCGCCCAGCCAGCGACAUUCCCCGCGACUUGUUGAGUAAGGUUUCCAGCUUCCGUAGAGAAGUCAGAGCUGGCAGCACUGGACCCCGGAUCGCGUGUCACCGACCACCUACAGCUGCCCCUUCGGGUGAGACCCAUUCACCGGCCCGCUCGGCGCGUUGGUGUCAUCUGCCGGUUCGUGUAGGCAGCCCCCUGUGUCCUUUCUCAGACCGAACAACGGAUCUGAAAGUCCCAACCAGCGUCUUAGUCCUCCUAGAAUUUCAAGUUAUUAAAGCCUCUUUCAGGACAAGCGUGUGUUAUUACCCUUAAAGCAACAGCAGCUUCGUUUGUACCGUGCUUGUUUGCAACAGACCUUUUAUGAGUAGCUCGGAGAAGGAGGCACGGUCUCCUUACCCCGCCCGCUGCCUUUUUCGGGGAGAAGAAAACCUGCUCCAUUGUCGACAAGCGUUUCCGCCAGAAUUCCCCGAGGCGUGGCGUUUCCCAGCAGCGCAUUCGUCUGGUGCCCCUGAGGGCUCAGGAAGGAGGCCGAGCCGUAGACCGGUAUUUGUUGUCCUCAGCAUGUCGAUGGCGGUUGACUGUCUUAGGAGCUGAAGAGAGCGGAAAACAGAGUUAGGCAGAAGGAUGCUAGAACAUUCCGAGAGUAGACCAGCGAAUGGAGAAGGAGCAGCCAGGGACUCGGGGAGGAAACCGAGGGAGCAGUGCGUCCCAGAGCCGAGGAAGAUGUUUCCAGGGGCAAAAAGCUGUUUAAGAGCGACGUAGAAAAAGAAAUGAAAGAUGUGCCUUAGGUUUAGCAACAAUGAGAUUAUCCUGUGAUCUUUCAAGAAUAGUUCCAUUGGAGUGGUGGGGCGGAAGAAGAAGAAAGAAGUGGAGAGUUGGAGGUGACUCGAGGUUGGCUGUGGAGAAGGAGGUGUGGGAGCUGGAAGAUGGUGUGCGGUUGAGGUGCUUUAGGAUGGGAAUUUUUGAGCAGCUUGAAGCUGAUGGGAGGGAGCUAGUGGGGCGAGAAGGUUUGCCUGUACAGGAGAGGGAGGAGUGACGAAUAAAGUCCCCUGGAAGAGAGGGGAAUGACAUCCAGAGCAUAAGGAGAGCAAUACUCACUUUGGGCAUAAGACACACACUUUUCAUAGCGGAGGGAGGGAGGGAGGGAAGAUGGCUUGCAGCUGCAGGUAAUCUUAUGUGUUUAUUGGAAUGAAAGCGAAGGAAUUCUCUGAUGGCUUCUGUUUUCGCCAUGAAUGAGGGAAACAAAACAUGUGCUGAAAACAAGAAGGGAGGUAAGAAAGCGAAGGUUUAAGCAAUGUGGAAAAGAUGUGAAAUAGCUGUUGUGGAAAACCUAGUGCAUAACUCACUAGAAAGCAUGGUAGAGUUUCAGGAUUCCUUUGAAUUUGGAAUUUAUCCUCAUAUGACCUAGGAUCAGGUAGAGUUUUAAAUGGUGUAAUUACUUUGGAGACCAGAGUUUACUCAGACUUUUUAUUUCAUAAGUAUUUAUGGAGCACCUUCAUAUCCUGGCACCACACGGACCAUGUUCACUCAGUCUGUAUCUCCACACUUCUCUCCUGAACUCUUAGACCUUUGCUGUUAGAUAUCUCAUGUUGUGUAUACAUGUUUAAAACUGAAUUUAUGGUCUUCAUCUGCAAGUCUCUGUAGAUUUCUCAGCAAAGAAUACAGCCAGAAAUUAAGAGGGUCAUUUUGUAAGGAUGAAGCAGUACAUUCAUCAAAAAGUUGUAACAAUUCUAAACAGUUUUGCACCUAAUAAUAAAGCUUUAAAAUACAUGAA